AGUAGCUCAGUUGGAUAGAGCAUUCGCCUCCUAAGCGAAAGGUCGUAGGUUCGACUCCUAUCUG
rnacentral:tRNA from 1 species